rnacentral:rRNA from 1 species
AGCGAACGCUGGCGGCAGGCCUAACACAUGCAAGUCGAACGAACCUUUCGGGGUUAGUGGCGGACGGGUGAGUAACACGUGGGAACGUGCCUUUAGGUUCGGAAUAACUCAGGGAAACUUGUGCUAAUACCGAAUGUGCCCUUCGGGGGAAAGAUUUAUCGCCUUUAGAGCGGCCCGCGUCUGAUUAGCUAGUUGGUUGAGGUAAUGGCUCACCAAGGCGACGAUCAGUAGCUGGUCUGAGAGGAUGAUCAGCCACAUUGGGACUGAGACACGGCCCAAACUCCUACGGGAGGCAGCAGUGGGGAAUCUUGCGCAAUGGGCGAACGCCUGACGCAGCCAUGCCGCGUGAAUGAUGAAGGUCUUAGGAUUGUAAAAUUCUUUCACCGGGGACGAUAAUGACGGUACCCGGAGAAGAAGCCCCGGCUAACUUCGUG